rnacentral:rRNA from 1 species
CAGGACGAACGCUGGCGGCGUGCUUAACACAUGCAAGUCGAGCGAUGAAGCUCUUCGGAAGUGGAUUAGCGGCGGACGGGUGAGUAACACGUGGGUAACCUGCCUCAUAGAGGGGAAUAGCCUUCCGAAAGGAAGAUUAAUACCGCAUAAGAUUGUAAUAUCGCAUGAUAUAGCAAUUAAAGGAGUAAUCCGCUAUGAGAUGGACCCGCGUCGCAUUAGCUAGUUGGUGAAGUAACGGCUCACCAAGGCGACGAUGCGUAGCCGACCUGAGAGGGUGAUCGGCCACAUUGGGACUGAGACACGGCCCAGACUCCUACGGGAGGCAGCAGUGGGGAAUAUUGCACAAUGGGGGAAACCCUGAUGCCAGCAACGCCGCGUGAGUGAUGACGGUCUUCGGAUUGUAAAGCUCUGUCUUUAGGGACGAUAAUGACGGUACCUAAGGAGGAAGCCACGGCUAACUACGUGCCAGCCGCUGC